AUACGGAGGGUGCAAGCGUUACUCGGAAUCACUGGGCGUAAAGCGCGCGCAGGCGGCUAUUUAAGUUGGAUGUGAAAGCCUACGGCUCAACCGUAGAACUGCAUCCAAAACUAUUUAGCUAGAGUGUGGGAGAGGAAGAUGGAAUUAGUUGUGUAGGGGUAAAAUCCGUAGAGAUAACUAGGAAUACCAAAAGCGAAGGCAAUCUUCUGGAACACUGCUGACGCUGAGGCGCGAAAGCGUGGGGAGCAAACGGGAUUAGAUACCCUAGUAGUCC
rnacentral:rRNA from 1 species